ACUUCUGACCCCGCACACCAACCCGAUGGAAGUAGUGAAGACAGUAGGGACGCACAGCACAGUGACUGAAGCCUGAAACCCUGAGGCUCAGUAAAACUUCAAUUCCUAGAAGCCUAAGGCAAUCGAAUGUUCUCGAAAUAGACCUUCCAGAAUCAAUGCAAUUUUCGGUUCAGCUUUUAGAUGCGUAUAAGAUACUCUUUCUUUGCUGUGGGAUUUUUCUGGUGCUUGAGAUCUUCUUUCCCGAGCGUUCUCCUUGCAGAGAUCUUUUGAUAUGGAGCGGCGUGCACGCAGCCCCUAGGUUGGGCGCUGAGGGGCAUCGCUGAUGCGAUCCACGUGCCUCCCCGUCCUCAGGCCGCUUCCUUUCCUGGUUUCCAGGUCCUCGUUUCUCCCAGCGCUGCCCUCCCCAUCUAAGCCCAAGUCGCCGUGAGCCCGCGCUGCCCCCUUGUGGCCAAAGCCCUCCCCAGCUCAGGAAACGGGAACGCUUGGCGGCCAGGCUGAGAGUCGGUGCGCGUGACCCGGCUUCUGCUCGCAGCAUCCAAGAAGUUGCAAUAACGUGGAAGGAUGGGGAACGGCGCCUCCCUGGCUAGCGUGAAACUCAGCCACAGCACAAAAUUGAGGCUGUUGGCCGUGAGCGGCUCUCAAAGCUGAAUUUGAGGUAAGAAGUCGCCUGCCAACAGGGCAUGCGCAAAUCUCACCAUGUAGAGUGAGUGGCUUUCCGGCAGCUUCUCCCCUCCAGGCGGCCACCUGGCCCCACACUCCUCAGGUGCAGGGCCGAGGAAGGGAGGGGUCCAGCUGAGCUCUGAGCGUCCCAGGGGAUACAGCACCUGACCACCACUCAGAAAGCCCCCCCAAAAAUACAAAGACAGAGAAUUGAAGACAGAUGCCACCUCACUUGACUAGUGGGGAUUGGGUGGGGAUAGCCCAACAUCGGCAGAGCCAACCUGGCCACCUACAUGGGAGGGUCCCCGGGGUAAGAUGUGGCUUUGUGACCUAAGGAAGGCGGGUAGGUCGGGCUGACGGGGGAGAGGGGCCAGUGAAGCCCCCAUCCCUAGGGACACAGUUCAGCUGAAGGAAUCUCACUCUGGGCCUUCACAGGGUUAGCAUCCUGUCGGCCCCUGCGCGGGGCCGGGGGGGCGGGGAUUCAGGUGGCCCCUGGUGGCAGCUGUCUUAACCCAGGCGAGGCACACAGGAGGACACCAAGCCCUGGUCUCCAACCUCAACCCUGCACAGCCUGCUAGUCCCACGCUAAAGUGAUUGAGGAAUGGCACAGAGACGGGAGCGAACCCCCAGGGAGGCACCAGCCAUGCUAAAAUACUUACCUUGGACAUAAGCUAAGCUUUAAGUUUGUUGUUUAUAACUUCAAAGAGAGACAAGGGACAGUGACUUAAGAAUAUUCUAAGCUAUAAAUUUACAUGUGGACUUUGCUACACACCUGGGAUGCAGCCAGAUGAGUUUUGUUCCAUUGCAGUACAUCUGAUGACCAGAAUUCUAUCAGAGAAUGUUAAUGAACGAAAAGCCUGAGCUUUAAGACUGAGAUUGGUACCACGGGUAGUCAUGGCCACCUGCUGGCAGCGUAGGGUACUGCAGCCCAGCUAUGGUUCAGACUAAAAGCCGAGAAACGCCUGUGGUCCAGGGAAAGGUAUGAAGAUCAUAUAAACCGGCGGUGGACAGGAAAUGCCACAGUCAAGAAGAUGCCCCUGGGAUGCUGAGCUCUUACAACUCGAAAUCAACAGCUUUUACAAAUAAAACCGCUGCAAAAGCAAUAGCUCUUACAA
rnacentral:lncRNA from 1 species